AGCGUACACGGUGGAUGCCCUGGCAGUCAGAGGCGAUGAAGGACGUGCUAAUCUGCGAUAAGCGUCGGUAAGGUGAUAUGAACCGUUAUAACCGGCGAUUUCCGAAUGGGGAAACCCAGUGUGAUUCGUCACACUAUCAUUAACUGAAUCCAUAGGUUAAUGAGGCGAACCGGGGGAACUGAAACAUCUAAGUACCCCGAGGAAAAGAAAUCAACCGAGAUUCCCCCAGUAGCGGCGAGCGAACGGGGAGGAGCCCAGAGCCUGAAUCAGUGUGUGUGUUAGUGGAAGCGUCUGGAAAGGCGCGCGAUACAGGGUGACAGCCCCGUACACAAAAAUGCACAUGCUGUGAGCUCGAUGAGUAGGGCGGGACACGUGGUAUCCUGUCUGAAUAUGGGGGGACCAUCCUCCAAGGCUAAAUACUCCUGACUGACCGAUAGUGAACCAGUACCGUGAGGGAAAGGCGAAAAGAACCCCGGCGAGGGGAGUGAAAAAGAACCUGAAACCGUGUACGUACAAGCAGUGGGAGCACGCUUAGGCGUGUGACUGCGUACCUUUUGUAUAAUGGGUCAGCGACUUAUAUUCUGUAGCAAGGUUAACCGAAUAGGGGAGCCGAAGGGAAACCGAGUCUUAACUGGGCGUUAAGUUGCAGGGUAUAGACCCGAAACCCGGUGAUCUAGCCAUGGGCAGGUUGAAGGUUGGGUAACACUAACUGGAGGACCGAACCGACUAAUGUUGAAAAAUUAGCGGAUGACUUGUGGCUGGGGGUGAAAGGCCAAUCAAACCGGGAGAUAGCUGGUUCUCCCCGAAAGCUAUUUAGGUAGCGCCUCGUGAAUUCAUCUCCGGGGGUAGAGCACUGUUUCGGCAAGGGGGUCAUCCCGACUUACCAACCCGAUGCAAACUGCGAAUACCGGAGAAUGUUAUCACGGGAGACACACGGCGGGUGCUAACGUCCGUCGUGAAGAGGGAAACAACCCAGACCGCCAGCUAAGGUCCCAAAGUCAUGGUUAAGUGGGAAACGAUGUGGGAAGGCCCAGACAGCCAGGAUGUUGGCUUAGAAGCAGCCAUCAUUUAAAGAAAGCGUAAUAGCUCACUGGUCGAGUCGGCCUGCGCGGAAGAUGUAACGGGGCUAAACCAUGCACCGAAGCUGCGGCAGCGACGCUUAUGCGUUGUUGGGUAGGGGAGCGUUCUGUAAGCCUGUGAAGGUGUACUGUGAGGUAUGCUGGAGGUAUCAGAAGUGCGAAUGCUGACAUAAGUAACGAUAAAGCGGGUGAAAAGCCCGCUCGCCGGAAGACCAAGGGUUCCUGUCCAACGUUAAUCGGGGCAGGGUGAGUCGACCCCUAAGGCGAGGCCGAAAGGCGUAGUCGAUGGGAAACAGGUUAAUAUUCCUGUACUUGGUGUUACUGCGAAGGGGGGACGGAGAAGGCUAUGUUGGCCGGGCGACGGUUGUCCCGGUUUAAGCGUGUAGGCUGGUUUUCCAGGCAAAUCCGGAAAAUCAAGGCUGAGGCGUGAUGACGAGGCACUACGGUGCUGAAGCAACAAAUGCCCUGCUUCCAGGAAAAGCCUCUAAGCAUCAGGUAACAUCAAAUCGUACCCCAAACCGACACAGGUGGUCAGGUAGAGAAUACCAAGGCGCUUGAGAGAACUCGGGUGAAGGAACUAGGCAAAAUGGUGCCGUAACUUCGGGAGAAGGCACGCUGAUAUGUAGGUGAAGUCCCUCGCGGAUGGAGCUGAAAUCAGUCGAAGAUACCAGCUGGCUGCAACUGUUUAUUAAAAACACAGCACUGUGCAAACACGAAAGUGGACGUAUACGGUGUGACGCCUGCCCGGUGCCGGAAGGUUAAUUGAUGGGGUUAGCGCAAGCGAAGCUCUUGAUCGAAGCCCCGGUAAACGGCGGCCGUAACUAUAACGGUCCUAAGGUAGCGAAAUUCCUUGUCGGGUAAGUUCCGACCUGCACGAAUGGCGUAAUGAUGGCCAGGCUGUCUCCACCCGAGACUCAGUGAAAUUGAACUCGCUGUGAAGAUGCAGUGUACCCGCGGCAAGACGGAAAGACCCCGUGAACCUUUACUAUAGCUUGACACUGAACAUUGAGCCUUGAUGUGUAGGAUAGGUGGGAGGCUUUGAAGUGUGGACGCCAGUCUGCAUGGAGCCGACCUUGAAAUACCACCCUUUAAUGUUUGAUGUUCUAACGUUGACCCGUAAUCCGGGUUGCGGACAGUGUCUGGUGGGUAGUUUGACUGGGGCGGUCUCCUCCUAAAGAGUAACGGAGGAGCACGAAGGUUGGCUAAUCCUGGUCGGACAUCAGGAGGUUAGUGCAAUGGCAUAAGCCAGCUUGACUGCGAGCGUGACGGCGCGAGCAGGUGCGAAAGCAGGUCAUAGUGAUCCGGUGGUUCUGAAUGGAAGGGCCAUCGCUCAACGGAUAAAAGGUACUCCGGGGAUAACAGGCUGAUACCGCCCAAGAGUUCAUAUCGACGGCGGUGUUUGGCACCUCGAUGUCGGCUCAUCACAUCCUGGGGCUGAAGUAGGUCCCAAGGGUAUGGCUGUUCGCCAUUUAAAGUGGUACGCGAGCUGGGUUUAGAACGUCGUGAGACAGUUCGGUCCCUAUCUGCCGUGGGCGCUGGAGAACUGAGGGGGGCUGCUCCUAGUACGAGAGGACCGGAGUGGACGCAUCACUGGUGUUCGGGUUGUCAUGCCAAUGGCACUGCCCGGUAGCUAAAUGCGGAAGAGAUAAGUGCUGAAAGCAUCUAAGCACGAAACUUGCCCCGAGAUGAGUUCUCCCUGACUCCUUGA
rnacentral:rRNA from 1 species